ACCUGGCGGUAUGUUAAAACUUACAGGAUUUGCUUAAUGUCAGGCCCACCAUUAACUUUCCUAGGUCUAACCUCUGGUAAAAUGCAGGUUUCACCUGCCUAGACCCAUUAGAAAAUCCAUCCUCCCAGGACAGCACAGUGACCACCUCACAUCUCACCUCUUGUUCCAAGGGAUGUCGCUCCUUGUUCUUCACUUUAACUUGCUGAGCGAAACCUGGUGCCGCUGAUUUCCACUCAUAAAAUGGAGCUACAGAAUUCUUCAUUCUUGGAGACUGAAGAAAUAGAGCAGUGAGGAAGAUACCAACAGAAUCCUUAAAAUAACACCCAAAGUCUGGAUAAUCCAAACAGAGCCGAGAUGUGGGGCAGGGGCAGCAAGUGAGACCCCCAGAAACCCAUCCCCUGGGCCCACUGGUAGUGGGCAAUCCUUCAGUGUGAUCACAGGGCAGCUUAUCAGCCCGGGACUCAUUUGUGCUUAUAGCAUCACUUUCCAGUCUAGCUCUGUGGGGAUCACCACCACUGGGAUGAGAGUGCACUGUUCGAGUGUGCCAUCGGAGGACAUAACUUCAGUGUAUCCGUCUUCACAACUGCACGUUCUAGUCUGUAGGGAACAAGUGUUUUACACUGUGUAGCAGAAAAACACAGUUUUCUGUGAGCUAUAAAGCAUAACAACAUGGAUAACUGGAAGAGAAGACUGUUUUGAUCUGCACUAGCCUGGAGAGUACCUCUUCAUAUAUUUUUAUGCAGGAAGUGGCCUGAUGUAUACUUUGGUGCUUACCAUUGCAUGGUCUUGUUUCCAAAGCUUGUUCUGGACAGAGAUGUUGAUUCUCUAAUUCCUGAAUGAUCACUGCCCGAGAUCGGACUUGUAUCCCUCCAAAGCCGAGAUCCUCACCAUUAACACAGAAUUCCUCAUCUACUACUUUGCCAACAUCUUCAAUGGAUCCAUCAAAAACCACACAGGAAAUGUUCCUCACUCGUGUUCCCUCUCCACAUUGAGCAUCCUGGGGAAGGAGGACAUACAUGGAUGCUGGACAGAAGAAAGUGCCAAAAGACUAGAUCUGAGCUACAUGUCACACUGUCUCCUAUUAUUUUUUGCUUAACUACUUGUUCAUUACGGGGGGGGGGGGGAAGACAUUGUUCAUUACUUCUGAAACAAACAAACAUAAAAAAACAACCCCAAAAUUCUGCUGGCUGCUACUACUGUCUCUUAAAGUAUGGAGCUAAUUAUGCCUUUGCAUUCCAACCACAGCAGUAUCUCAAGUGGAGAUCUCUUCUAGGAUGCAAUCUAUUUCCACAAAUAUUCUUUUACAAUAGAAGGAUUUCAAUUAUUAGCAAAGAUGCUGCUCGGGUACCAAAGUUUACAUUUAUACUUUGAAUAUCUGUAGGACAUUGUUGUAUCUGUUGACAAAUAUGAACUCUAAGAAUAAAUCUUUAGUUUUUGUAUAA